AGGGGCAUGUGAGGGCUGUCGCUGACUCAAAGUCGUGCACGCCCGAGUGUGUCCUCUCACAUAAUAAUCCAUCUCACCCUUUGUGCAUCGCCGCGUGAGCACCCUUUGGGAUCAUCUCGGAGGGGGCUCGCGUUUUCACACAAACCCCCCUUUUAAAAGUGUAGAAUGACCUCAUUUAUGCGCUAACACGCAAUCAAUACAACUUUCAACAACGGAUCUCUUGGCUCUCGCAUCGAUGAAGAACGCAGCGAAAUGCGAUACGUAAUGUGAAUUGCAGAAUUCAGUGAAUCAUCGAAUCUUUGAACGCACCUUGCGCCCCUUGGUAUUCCGAGGGGCACACCCGUUUGAGUGUCGUGAAAACCUCAACCUCCUUGGUUUCUUCUGGAGACCAAAGGCAGGCUUGGACUUUGGAGGCCCUUGCUGGAACCUCUCUCUUUUGAAGGCCAGCUCCUCUUAAACGAAUUAGCAGGGUCCUCUUUGCCGAUCCUCGACGUGUGAUAAGAUGUUUCCAUGUCUUGGUUUCUGGCUCUGUCACUUUUGGGACCCGCUUCUAACCGUCUUGACCUUGCAUCGAGACAAUGUUCGAGCAUGUCUCCCUUCUCGGGAAGCUCCCUCGACCCCACGAACCCUUGACCUCAAAUCGGGUGAGACUACCCGCUGAACUUAAGCAUAUCAAUA
rnacentral:rRNA from 1 species